rnacentral:lncRNA from 1 species
GACGAAGUAGCAUUAAAGUUGAUUCAAUUCCUCUUCUGUGUUUUCUGUUAUUUUCAGAUUCAAAGUGAUGGAGGUCACUAAAUAGCAUUCUAUAGUGCUCCGUCACUUCUGAUUUCAGAAAUUAAGCCCUGACUAGGUUCUUCUUGAACAGACUUUGAAACAUUGCCAUUUAUGUCAUUAGCUCUGUUACUCCAUAUCACGCUUUAUUCACAGGAGCCAUGCUUUGAAUCCUAAGAAGAAGAGGACUGCACCUUCACAACUAGUUAA